UAAACAGAGUCCUUAUCCACAGAACUAAAAAUAGAAGAAAAACACAGUCAGACCGCAGGUCGUAUGCUAAUGAGCAAAACCGGCCUGUUUUAUUUCCAAUCCCGCGAGCGCUCGCUCCUGUCAUCUAACAUCUCGCGAGUCACGAGAUUUUUGUACCGUGUACUGCGAGUGCAGUUUAAGAGAAAACCAAGCUUUCUGCGGUCGCAAUGUUUAGGAGAUGACAGAUUCAUGUAUAUGGUGACUCAAUUGUUCGUGGUGUAAGUUUUGAUCAGGAUCAGUUUGGUGGCAAAAUAUUCUGCUAUCCGGGUGCCACUGUUAGGAAUCUUCGACAGAUAAUUAGAGCACAAACAGACUUUGACUCCACAGUGGAUGCAGUUGUAAUCCAUAUUGGAACUAACAAUCUUGGCAAUAGUGUCUGGGAAAGAACUGGAGGACAAUAUAGAGAUUUGAUUUUUAGUGUACGUGAGAAGUACAGAGAAUCAAGAAGCUGUGAGAAUGUAAAAACAACACAUUUACAGAAUCCUACCUCUGUGUCUUUAAUAGAAUCUGAUAACAGUGAUGAUUCUGAUUAUACAUCUAGUGAUGAAAGUGAUUUGGAAAUUAAUGACAGAGAUAUGCAGGUUGAUGAUGAUGUACAU